CCUACGGGUGGCAGCAGUGGGGGAUAUUGGACAAUGGGGGAAACCCUGAUCCAGCGAUGCCGCGUGAGGGAAGAAGGUUUUCGGAUUGUAAACCUCUUUUGUGGGGGACGAUAAUGACGGUAUCCCUUUAAUAAGCAACGGCUAACUACGUGCCAGCAGCCGCGGUAAUACGGAGGUGGCGAGCGUUGUCCGGAAUUACUGGGUGUAAAGGGUGCGUAGGCGGGCAAGUAAGUCAGAAGUGAAAUCUAUGGGCUUAACUCCUAAACUGCUUUUGAAACUGUUUUUCUAGAGUGAAGUAGAGGUAAGUGGAAUUCCUAGUGUAGCGGUGAAAUGCGUAGAUAUUAGGAGGAACACCAGUGGCGAAGGCGACUUGCUGGGCUUUUACUGACGCUGAGGCACGAAAGCGUGGCGAGCAAACAGGAUUAGAUACCCCGGUAGUC
rnacentral:rRNA from 1 species